UAAGGAUCCGGUGUUGCCCUGAGCUGUGGUGUAGGUUGCAGAUGCAGCUCAGAUCUGGAGUUGCUGUGGCUGUGGCAUAGGUCAGCUCCAAUUCGACCCCUAGCCUGGGAACUUCCAUAGCUGCGGGGGGAUGCAGCCCAAAAAAGAAAAAAAAGAAAGAAAGAAAAAAAAAGAAAGAAAUGCAGCCUGUAGGAUUGUUGGAAUUCUUAUUUGCCAAGGAAGAAUCAUCUUCAUUUUUGUAGGGAAUAUGGAAAAGCAGUGUGGCUCAUAUAACAUCCCAGAAGAAGAAAUCUAGGCUAUAUGAAGAGCAUCUCAAGAGAAAAAAAAUACCUUGAACAAGUAAAAGGAUAACUCAUCAUGACAAUGAGACAUAUGGUCAAAGAUUCAACAAAAACCAUAAGUUUGAAAAUGUUAAAUAAUAGUUUAGGAACAUUAUCCAACAAAGCUUUCCUGUGAUGCAAGUCUCCGCGUGAGAAUAUUUUUUGAAAGCUUUCAUAUUAGUACUGCAUAUAGUGUACAUAAAUAAAACACAGAAAGAAAAUUAUAUAUGAUGCCAGGAAAGAAUUGGUAACUCCAUUUAAAAUGGCACCACAAAGAAACUAUAUUGAGGAAUUAAAUAAUCAACAGAUACAGUGCCACAGUCUUGUUGUAUUUGGAAUUAAACUGAGAAGAACAUAAAAUAGCAAAGAAAUGUUGAAGCAAAGAUGGGGA
rnacentral:lncRNA from 9 species